UACGUAGGGGGCAAGCGUUGUCCGGAAUCAUUGGGCGUAAAGCGAGCGUAGGCGGCCCGAUAAGUCUGCUGUGAAAGUCAACGGCUCAACCGUUGAAAGCCGGUGGAUACUGUCGGGCUAGAGUUCGGAAGAGGCAAGUGGAAUUCCUGGUGUAGCGGUGGAAUGCGCAGAUAUCAGGAGGAACACCCAUAGCGAAGGCAGCUUGCUGGGACGAUACUGACGCUAAGGCUCGAAAGCGUGGGGAGCAAACAGG
rnacentral:ncRNA from 2 species